rnacentral:rRNA from 1 species
AUCAAGUGAUAGAAGGGCAUUCGGUGGAUGCCUUGGCGCUAAGAGGCGAUGAAGGACGUGGUACGCUGCGAAAAGUUACGGGGAGCUGCGAACAAGCUUUGAUCCGUAAAUAUCCGAAUGGGGAAACCCGG